GAAUUUUUUUAAAUAUAUUAUUACAAUUUAAAUAAUUUCUGCUACAAAGCAAACAUUUUAAAGUAUGACUAUAGCAAUAGAGUAGUGCGAUGGUAGGGAAUGUGCCGAGUUGCGCACUGUUGUGUCCAUUUGUGUCUGUCAGUAUCAUUUAAUUCGCCGUGAUAGAUUCACGCAAUACUACUCCAGUAUAAUAAACUACACAAAAUAAUUUGUUUGAACCAAGUAAAUUCAAUUUGAAGAAUUCAAUCAUAACAUUUAUUUAUCGUUUAACUUGCUAGUGGAGUUUACUUUGAUUUAUUUUAUUUUAUUUUAAGAAAAUAAAGUAAAGGAUUGUUUUGUACAUCUCUAUAUAUAUCUAUUUUAAAGGUUCUAGAAAUUUCUUUGCUAUAUCUACGAUAAACGUUGACAAUUUUAGUUUUAUUGUUUCAGUUCUGUAAGAAUGUGAUUAAAAACAUCAAUAAACAUCUAUUAAUCUUUUAACAAGUAUUAUAUGAUUAAAAUAUUGUUGAAUUAUCGAAGUUGUAUUUGAUAAAUUAUUGACAUCAAUUUUCGUAUUAUUUACUAGAACGAUUUAAAUUAUUUUUUACUAGAAAUUUUGUGAGUUUAUUGUUGUAUAAAGAUAAAAUUUUGUUUGAUUGGUUAAAAAUGUGAAAUAAUAUUUAAAUGGAGUUGGAUGAUAAAAUAUAAAAAAAAAACUAUCAUUCAGUGAAACUAUAUCUGUGUAUAAUGUCAUAAAAAUAUCUGAUUCAAGUAAUAUUGUGGCGCCUUGGAUCUUGGACUAAAACAGACAGAAAUAUUGGAAAUAAUGGAGCCAUUUUGCUUUAUUGAUACCGAUUUAAAUAUCAAUGAUAAUAUUAUAAAAGAUACGAAGGAGAAAAAUAUUACCAACGAAAAUGAAAAUAAUAUUAAUGAAAUCAACAAUAUAAAGAAAUAUUAUGAAGAAAUUGAUUAUACACAUAAUCCACAACAAAGACUUGCAGUGUUAAGUUUUGAGCAAGUACGGAGAUUAAAUGAUGUAAUGAAUGAGGUUGUUAGUAUUCAUGGUAGAGGUAACUUUCCAACCUUGGAAGUACGAUUAAGAGAUUUGGUGACAGUUGUAAGGAGCAAACUGGAGGAAAAUCCGGGUAAUGGUGGAGCAGGAAUGAGAGUACGAGAUAUUCGAUUAAAUGGUGGUGCCGCAUCUCACGUUUUAGCUACUGAAUCCCAACCUUAUAACGAUCUAGAUCUCAUAUUUGGAGUAGAACUUACUAGUGGUCGUCACUUUGAUCGAGUUAAAACAGCAGUACUUGGAUCACUAUUUGACUUAUUACCUGAAGGUGUCAGCCGUAAGCGCAUAACUACUUGUAGUCUCAAAGAAGCAUAUGUUAGUAAAAUGGUGAAGGUCACCGAUGGUGAUAGGUGGUCGCUUAUUUCUUUAGGAAACUCACGUGGACAUCGGAAUGUUGAAUUAAAAUUUGUUGAUACAAUGAAACGACAAUUUGAAUUCUCUGUUGAUUCAUUUCAAAUUAUUCUCGACUCAUUACUUCUUUUUUACGACUGCAGCAAACUUAAGAUUAGUGAAAACUUUUAUCCAACUGUUAUCGGAGAAUCUGUUUAUGGUGACUUUCAAGAGGCUCUUUAUCAUCUUCAUAAAAAACUUAUAUCGACUAGACACCCUGAAGAGAUUCGAGGUGGAGGUUUACUUAAAUAUUGUAACCUUCUCGUUAAAAUGUACAAGCCUGCUCAACCAGAUUACAUCAAAACACUAGAAAGAUACAUGUGUUCGAGAUUUUUUAUAGAUUUUUCUGAUAUUAAUCAACAGCAAGCUAAACUUGAGAAUUAUCUGUGGAACCAUUUUGUUGGUCCAGAGGAGGAAGCUCUAAAAUAUCAAUAUCUCAUGCUACUACACAGUGUGGUUGAAGAAUCAACAGUAUGUUUAAUGGGUCAUGAAAGGCGACAAACUUUAGCUCUCAUUGAAAAUCUUGCUUUUCAAGUUCUUUGUCAAAAACAACAACGAUUGAAUAAUCAACCAACUCCAGUUGGGCCACCGACAACAUAUGUUUAUACAAAUGGAUAUACAAAUCCUGGAUUUUACUAUACUCCAGUAAUUCCAACAGCUUGCUAUACAUGCACUUGCAAUUCUUGGAUGGCGUGUUCCUCGUGAUGCUAUGUUCCUGAUUCAGCAGUAACCAACUCAACUCUAACGUGCUGACAAGUCAAUAAUGUCGACGAUCUCAGUGAUGCAGUCACAAUCAUCGAUCAUAGAUCUAAUCGAUGGCACCACUAUUUGGUCAUUACUAUUAUUUUUGUAAUAUUCAUUAAAACAAUCACAGGAAAGUAUUACUUUCUUGUAAAAGUUGCACUUGUAUUGUCUGAGGUAUGACCAUUUUUCAAUGAGAAUUAUUAUGAUUAGUGUAAUUUUUAUCAGAAAAUAUCAUUGCUAUUCAUGCAUCUAUGACAAUUUUGUAAAAAAAAAUACAGAAAAUAGUAUAGAAUUAUACUAUAAUGUUUAAACUAAUACAAUAUAAUGAACUGAUUGUAGCAGGAAUUAUAAUACUUGUGUUAUGAAGAUGCUAAUGAUUGCAUUCACUUUUUUAUUUAUUAAUUUAAAGGUUCGACUGAUUUUAAUAAUCACAAUUUUAUUGAAAAUUAUUUUAACUGUUUCCCAAUCAUUUAAUUUGCAUUCUGAAAAUUUAAAUAUCGAAAACAACAGAGUGAACGACUUAAUGUUCUAUUUUAUGAAAAUCAAUUAUUGUAUUAAGAAUUGAAGGAAUUUUAUUGUACAUAUGAUAAAGUGAUACAUACAAAAAUAUAUUCUUAAAUAUCAAUAUUCGAAGAUUUAUAUUUAGACAGAUAUUUUUCAUUAUUCUGCGCUCUUAAUGUAUCCAUUAUCAUGUAUACAUUAUAAUAUAAAAAGUAAGAAUAACUUUAUUCAAUCAAAAAAACAUUGUAAUAAAGAAAUUAAAUAUCAAUUCAUAAAACUGAAAUUAUUGAUUUAUAUAUAUAUAUAUUAAUUAUUAUAUCAUAACAAUACUGUUUGUCUAAUGCAGCUUAUAAUUUUUUCUUUGAAAUAAUGAUAAUAAUAAUUAUUACCAUAAUAGUAAAACAAGAACAACAGUAGUAAUGAUGAAGAAAUACACGGAAAUAAACAAUCAUGACUUAAAGAAGACUUUAAAUAAUUCAGCUAAAAUUUUAUUCCCAAGAUCUUCAAUCAUGAUAAUAACUUGGGAUAGUCGGUCCAAAAAUUACUUUAAAAAGUUUUACAAAACGUUCAUGAAAAUAAUUAUAAUCCUAAUAUUACUACUAUUGUGGUCAUUUGUAAAACUUCUGAACUAUUCUAUUUAGAAAUUGAAAUGUUUAUAAAAUCGAGAAAUAUCCAUUUGAAAAAAGUAUUUGUCGACGAUACUUUCAUGAGUACAAAAAAUUGGUAAAAUUUCUCUCUCUCUCUCUGUCUCUCAAUUACUGUUAGUAUUACUAUUUAGCUGUUAUUAUGAUGAUGAUGAUUAUUAUUAUAUUACAGGUGAUGGUAGUACCACUAUAAACAAUGAAAAUGUGAAAAUGGAAUAAACUCGCUUAGUUAAAAAAUUCUUGCACCAUACAACAGAAACAAUGUAGAAAUUAUUUCAUGUGUUUUACACAUCAUAUAUAUUAAAAUACAACGAUAAAGUAUUGCAAAUAACAUCAAAAUUAGAAACUGCAUUAUUAAGUCUGGUAUUUAGAGAACUACGUUCUAUUUAAUAAUCUAUAAAAUAUCUAUUUAAUCUUUGAAAGAAAUGAAUUUAGCUCUAAUGAAAAUUAAUUGUUGUAAAAAUUAAAAGAAAAAUUAUUUGAAAGUGCAGAAAAAAAUUACAAAAUUCCUAUGUACAAGCGAAAAAAUAUCAUUAUUGUUACGUUAAUUGUUUGUGGUGAUCUACUAGUAGAUUUUAUAAAAGGUUAUUCAUAGAAGAAUUAAAACAAAAAAAUUAAUUAAAAUUUAAAAAGUUUCAAAAAAAGCCUUAAUAUAAUUCGUAAAUUAACAAUAAAAAACUAUCAGGCAUAAUUAUAUUAGAACAUUAAAUCAUAUUAGCUUAUUAAGAUCAGUAUAGAAAGUGGUAGAGACUCUAAAAAUUUGCAUUAUUUUUUUUGAGUCAACGUUCAAAAAAUAUUAAUCAUUUUUUUUAAUUUAAUAAUCAAUUUUUCUAACCACUAUUAUUAAUUAUUAUUUUUAUUAUUAUUAUUAUUAUUAUUAUUAUUACGUUUAGCAUUCUUUUUAUUAAUAUUGUGUGGCUGUGAUCACAUUUUGUUUAGAUUUUGCUGUUAAAGAAUACUACAAUUAUCUAAUAAAAUAUCAAUUUGUAAUAAAGAAAAAAUGGAAAAUAAUAAAAAAAAAAAAACAAUACCGUAAAUAAAAGUAUGUUUCUUUGACGAAUAUUUUAACAUGGAAGUUCAAUGCUAUGUUAUACUUAUGCAAGCAUUUUUGGAAUUAUAUUGUUAAAUAUUUUAUAACUAUAUCUAAAUAAAUCAACUGCUAUUUGUAUGAAAGUGCCUAGAUAGUUUAAACCGAUAAGUUGACUGUGUAUAAGUACGUAAAUACAAUUAAAAAUUCUUGCCCACUGUAACAUUUCCGUCAGAAAUGCAAACUGAAAAAUGUGAUAUUGAAUAAGUGCAAAUUGUAACCGGAAUGUCCAGUCAUUCUUAGAAGGCAACAUAAAUAUUUAAAAAAUAGUGAAUAUGAAAAUAGUAAUCAGAAGAGAAAGAUAGAAUAUUAUAGUUGUAAACUAUAUGGUGCUCGAUUGUCCACAUGUAUGUGUUUGUUAAGUUGUCAUAUUGAGACUCUAGUCUCCCGUAGCAACGCUUGCAUAACUUUAUAAGAUAUUGUAAUUAUUUAAUACUGUGAGCGCGAAACCAACCGGGCAAACUCUGUACAGCUGCUAAAUGUAUAUAUAAAUAAUGGUUUGCACAUGUGUAAGAAUUAAGUAUGUAUAUAGUUGCUUAGUCGACCGAUAUCACAGGCAAGAAAAGCAUGUCGAUGUAGUAAUAGUUACAAGUAUUUGCGGGUAUAUAUGAAUCCAUUUCUAAACGUUCAACACAUAGUCAUGGAAUAAAUUUCUGAAUUGUAUUUACUUGGCUCGAUAUCGACUAGUGACCCCGAUUGUCGAUUCGCUGGUUUACACAAAUACUACUUUGCAGCUAAGAAUCAGUCACUUCGUGCUAACUCCGCCUUCUCUUCCUUUUUUUGUAAUGCUCUUAUCCCACUCUUUUUAUAGUUGUGAAGCGAAAGUAAAUCUUAGUAAAAAGACAUUAAACUGGUUUUUCAAGUAUCAUGUCACUAAUGCUAGAGAGUAGUAAUCAUGAUUCAAUAGUUUGUUUGCGAUUACUACUCUUAUAGUUGUAUUAUUCAAGGCACAUAUUUUUAUAACUUAUUCGGCAUCUAUGAUUCAAUUAAUUCCAACUCAUAGGAAGACUUCUUGACCAUCAGCGUACAAUUAAAAGGAAUGGCCUUAAGAUAAUGCAAAACAAAUAUAAUUCUGAUUGCAGUUUUUAACUAAUGUUUUUUAAUUUUAUCUCUUAUGGUCAGAUUCUUUUUUGUUUAAUAAAGUACAAAUGACAGUAAUUAGUGCAUGUGACACAGAUGUUGCUUAAAUUUUUGAAAAUAGAAAAGAAAAAUAGAGGAAAAAGUUGUCUAAUUUAUACCUUGAUUGAUAUUUUCUGGAGUAAAAGACAAAACUCCUAAUUAUGUAAAGUUUGCAUUUGUUAUUAGUUUGAAUAAUUUUUAACUAUUUCUGAAUGUAAUAAUUGACUUUAAAAUAAUAAGAAAUAUGAAUUAAAUACAGGUAUAAACUAAGCAACUUAAUUCUAAAAAUGACUCAAAAAUUCUCCUAACCGAUUUAUCAUAAUUUUAACACUUAUUUAGACUAGAAAAAACUACAUAGAAUAAAAACAGAUAAUCAAUUGAUUGUAAUUAGUGUUAUAUAGUUAGAAACAAUAGACAUACAUUGAAGAACAAUAGGGUACUAAUAAUUUUUUAAUUUAAAAAUAAGAGAAAUUACACGUACGAUUAAUAUGUUAAUGUGUCCUAUAGAAUUGUAAUGACUCUCCUCUGAUUUUAUGAAAAUAAAAAUGUACCAAUAAUAUAACUGAAA
rnacentral:misc_RNA from 1 species